rnacentral:rRNA from 1 species
UACGUAGGGGCCGAGCGUUGUCCGGAGUUAUUGGGCGUAAAGCGCGCGCAGGCGGCUUCGCGCGCCCGACGUGAAAGCCCCCGGCUUAACCGGGGAGAGUCGUUGGGGACGGCGGAGCUUGAGGGCGGGAGAGGUCGGUGGAAUUCCCGGUGUAGUGGUGAAAUGCGUAGAGAUCGGGAGGAACACCUGUGGCGAAGGCAGCCGACUGGGCCGACCCUGACGUUGAGGCGCGAAGGCGUGGGGAGCGAACGGG